GACGAACGCUGGCGGCGUGCUUAACACAUGCAAGUCGAACGGAAAGGCCCUGCUUUUGUGGGGUGCUCGAGUGGCGAACGGGUGAGUAACACGUGAGUAACCUGCCCUUGACUUUGGGAUAACUUCAGGAAACUGGGGCUAAUACCGGAUAGGAGCUCCUGCUGCAUGGUGGGGGUUGGAAAGUUUCGGCGGUUGGGGAUGGACUCGCGGCUUAUCAGCUUGUUGGUGGGGUAGUGGCUUACCAAGGCUUUGACGGGUAGCCGGCCUGAGAGGGUGACCGGCCACAUUGGGACUGAGAUACGGCCCAGACUCCUACGGGAGGCAGCAGUGGGGAAUAUUGCACAAUGGGCGGAAGCAUGAUGCAGCAACGCCGCGUGUGGGAUGACGGCCUUCGGGUUGUAAACCGCUUUCGCCUGUGACGAAGCGUGAGUGACGGUAAUGGGUAAAGAAGCACCGGCUAACUACGUG
rnacentral:rRNA from 1 species